UGCUUGACUAAUCAUAGUGCCCUUAGAGCCUUAUCCACUUGUAUCUUCUCUCCCCCACUCUCCUCAUCAAAUCCUUCAGUUCACGGACUCACUCACGUCGGAGACGACGCUAUCGGAGGUCAGAGUCGGACAGUUCCUCCUGCCAAUCUUCCACAGAGGACAGACACCAUCUGCAAAAAUCUGUGGUGCAUCAGGCAUUAGGAGACCUCACAGCUGUAGUUGAGGACACCAAUGGAGUGCUUGACCAAAUGGACAUGAAGUGGACACCUGCAACCAAAUCAGUGUGUAAAACGGCUCCAAAAUAUCGCUCCAUCCUCUCAACUGCCACCGAGGAAAUCUUGAUUGAUUUUGUCAUCAAAACCUGGAAGUGAGGUUUUACACAGAAAAGGGUCCCAGCAUUUACCGAGCCAGACCGAUGGUCCGCACGAUUACGAUUCUGGGAAUGACACAUCUUCGCCACCAUCAAGCAAAACUGGUGUUUCUCGGGCGAGUGUCACUGACAACAAGAGGAACCACUGUAAACUGGCCUCGCCAGACAAGCUGAAAUUCGCUGACAGAGACAAUAUCUCUGAUUCAGGAAACUCUGUUACAAGCUACGCUUCUUUGUGCAAACCUUACGGGGAGGACGGCUUGUCUGCAACCCUUUUCAGUGGGAACAGCAAGAGAGAGCAGAUAACUUUGGGGUGUCAUGUAGAGGUUACGAGAUCUCCAAAGGCCUCCAGCUGUUCACAGAGGAUGAGCAAAUCAUCUCGAAGGCGGCUAAAAACCCGGUCAUCCAGCAGCCGGAGCAGGAGCAGGUCCUCAGGAAGUUCCAGAUACUCCGGACGUUACACUCGAAGCCUGUCCCCAUCAUCUUGCAGCUCAUAUUCACGCUCACCAAGUUAUUCAUCUGAUUUGAGCCGACGAGGCAGCGUGGCCAGCCUGAGCUCUAGAGGAAGCUACUCCCGAUACAAGGCUGACAGGUAAACUUUACAGUGUU